AGCAAUCUGCCUUGGAGUGGGGAAUAACGGUUGGAAACAGCCGCUAAUACCGCAUGAUGCAUUGGAGUCGCAUGAUUUUGAUGCCAAAGAUUUAUCGCUCUGAGAUGAGCUCGCGUCUGAUUAGCUAGUUGGCGGGGUAACGGCCCACCAAGGCGACGAUCAGUAACCGGACUGAGAGGUUGGCCGGCCACAUUGGGACUGAGACACGGCCCAGACUCCUACGGGAGGCAGCAG
rnacentral:rRNA from 1 species